GAUGAGGCCAACAGCUCUCUUCAAGAGCUCUCCGUGGAGGGGGCUGUGUGGAAAGUGGUAAGUUCACUGUCACUGGAGAUUUUCACAAUGAAAAUCUGUGACAAGCAGGGUGAGAGCCUGUUGGGAGUGCUGUGGAUGAGAUUCUGGAAACAAAAGACUUAGCCACAUUUUCUGAGAUCCCAUCUAAGUGAAAGCCCUGACUAUUGACAAAGCCAGGGGACAUUAUUGCUGAUGAAACCAAUCAGGCAGUGAUACUUUUACACCCAGUGAGUUCUAGGGAGUGGCAUUCAUGAAGAGGCUUGCACUACAUCCAGACCCUGAAGCAUCUGCAGGCUACUGCCUUGUCUGCCAAGGCGUUGGAGAAACCAUGGCGUGAACACCACCAGAAGUUAAGCCUGAGCCUUUAAUAAGCAGAUCGGAUGGAGUCUUGCUCUGUCACCAGGCUGCAGUGCAGUGGCAUGAUCUCAGCUCACUGCAGCCUCCACCUCCCAGGUUCAAGUGAUUCUCCUGCCUCAGCCUCCCAAGUAGCUGGGACUACAGGUGCGUGCCACCAUGCCCGAUUAAUUUUUUGUAUUUUAGUAGACAUGGGGUUUCACUAUGUUGGCCAGGAUGGUCUCGAUCUCCUGACCUCGUGAUCCACCUGCCUCAGGCUCCCAAAGUGCUGGGAUUACAGGCGUGAGCCAGAGUUGAUUUUUUAAAUUAAUUUUUCCAAAUUAUAUUAAGACUAUAAACUUUUGGAUCGAAAAAGUUCAAUGAACCCCUAACAGAAUAAACAUAAAGUUCAAAAGCACACAAAACCAAUCACUAUAUUAUUUAGGAAUAGAUACAUAUAUAGUAAAAACAACAAAUAGCCAAGGCAAGAUUAACAAAUUUCAGGAUAGAGAGUGCCUCUGGGGAGAAGACGGGACACUCGAAGGCUUUAACUAUAUUAGUAAAUUCUUUUUCUCAACUGAUCUAAGGAGUAAAUAAGUAUUUUUAUUACUAUUCUUUAAAUUGAAUAUAUA
rnacentral:lncRNA from 1 species